rnacentral:misc_RNA from 1 species
GAUGAAGAGCGCAGCGAAAUGCGAUAAGUAAUGUGAAUUGCAGAAUUCAGUGAAUCAUCGAAUCUUUGAACGCACAUUGCGCCCGCCAGUAUUCUGGCGGGCAUGCCUGUUCGAGCGUCAUUUCAACCAUCAAGCCCUGCUUGCGUUGGGGUCCUGCGGCUGCCCGCAGGCCCUGAAAACCAGUGGCGGGCUCGCUAGUCACACCGAGCGCAGUAAUACAUCUCGCUUUGGGCGUGCGGCGGGUUCUUGCCGUUAAACACCCCCUUUUUACCAAGGUUGACCUCGGAUCAGGUAGGAAUACCCGCUGAACUUAAGCAUAUCAAUAAGCGGAGGA